rnacentral:rRNA from 1 species
UCGGGAAUUUUGGGCAAUGGGCGAAAGCCUGACCCAGCAACGCCGCGUGAAGGAUGAAGUAUUUCGGUAUGUAAACUUCGAAAGAAUAGGAAGAAUAAAUGACGGUACUAUUUAUAAGGUCCGGCUAACUACGUGCCAGCAGCCGCGGUAAUACGUAGGGACCAAGCGUUGUUCGGAUUUACUGGGCGUAAAGCGCACGUAGGCGGAUUGUUAAGUCAGAGGUGAAAUCCCGGAGCUCAACUUCGGAACUGCCUUUGAUACUGGCAAUCUAGAGUCCGGAAGAGGUUAGUGGAAUUCCCAGUGUAGAGGUGAAAUUCGUAGAUAUUGGGAAGAACACCAGUGGCGAAGGCGGCUAACUGGUCCGGUACUGACGCUGAGGUGCGAAAGCGUGGGGAGCAAACAGGAUUAGAUACCCAUGUAGUCCCUGAGCGGGCUGGCAAGGCGCAU